UGAAACAUCUUAGUAAGCGGAGGAAAAGAAAUCAAAAUGAGAUUCCCUAAGUAGUGGCGAGCGAAAGGGGAACAGCCUAACCAUUAGUUGACUGACAACGAUAGAAGAAGCAGUUGGAAAGCUGCGGCAUAGAGCGUGAAACCCGCGUAAUCGAAAUCCGCGUCAGCUAGGUGAAAGUAGCACACCACACGUGAAACGGUGUGUGAAGAUGGGUGGACCACCAUCCAAGGCUAAAUACUAGUUAGCGACCGAUAGUGAACAAGUACCGUGAGGGAAAGGUGAAAAGAACCCCUGUGAGGGGAGUGAAAUAGAACCUGAAACCAUGUGCCUACAAGGUGUAGGAGCAGGCUUGACCUGUGACUGCGUGCCUUUUGCUUAAUGAGUCUGCGAGUUAGUAUGUGUGGCAAGCUUAAGAUCUUCUGGAUCGGAGGCGUAGGGAAACCAAGUCCGAAUAGGGCGCUUAUGAGUUGCACGUGCUAGACCCGAAACGGAGGUGACCUACCCAUGGCCAGGUUGAAGCUUCGGUAAAACGAUGUGGAGGACCGAACCGGUACAGGUUGAAAACUGUUCGGAUGAGCUGUGGGUCGGAGUGAAAGGCUAAUCAAACCCCGUGAUAGCUGGUUCUCCUCGAAAUGCAUUUAGGUGCAGCGUCGCGUGCUUACCCUCGGGGGUAGAGCACUGAAUGAGCUAGGGCCCAUACCAGGGUACCAAACUCAACUAAACUCCGAAUACCGGGGGGUGGAACGCGGCAGUGAGACUGCGGGGGAUAAGCUUCGUAGUCGAAAGGGAAACAGCCCAGAUCAGCAGCUAAGGUGCCUAAAUAGUGCUCAGUGGAAAGGAGGUGGGAUUUCAUAGACAGUGAGGAUGUUGGCUUAGAAGCAGCCACCAUUUAAACAAAGCGUAACAGCUGACUCAUCGAGAGAUCCUGCGCCGAAAAUGAUUGGCGAUAAGCACUAUACCGAAGCUCUGGAUGCACAGCUUGCUGUGCGUGGUAGAGGAGCGUUCUCAACACCUUGAAGCCUUAAGGCGACUGAUGGUGGAGCGUUGAGAAGUGAGUAUGUAGACAUGAGUAACGAUAAGCCAGGUGAGAUCCCUGGCCGCCGUAAACCCAAGGUUUCCUGGGCCAUGCUGGUCAUCCCAGGGUUAGUCGGGACCUAAGCCGAGGCCGAUGGGCGUAGGCGAUGGACUAAAGAGGUUAAUAUUCCUCGACUUCCGAACCUUAAACUAGAAGGACGCAUAUUGAAUGANGANNANCUUAUUGAAUUGNGAGNCGCANGGUNUNGUCCNGNNCCGUAUCNUUUGAANAUGUGCCAAGAAAAGUUCUAGUGUAUGCUAAGGAACCCGUACCGUAAACCGACACAGGUGGGUGGGUAGAAUAUACUAAGGCGCAAGAGUGAAACCCUGUUAAGGAACUCGGCAAUCUAGCCCCGUAACUUCGGGAGAAGGGGUCCCGGGACUCGUCCCGGGCGCAGUGAAAGGGCCCAUCCGACUGUUUAGCAAAAACACAGCAUUCUGCGAACACGCAAGUGGAAGUAUAGGAUGUGACACGUGACCAAUGCCAAAAGAUUAAGGGGAGGUGUUAGCCUUCGGGCGAAGCUCUGAUCCUAAGUCCUGGUGAAUGUCGGCCGUAACAAUAACGGUCCUAAGGUAGCGAAAUUCCUUGUCGGGUAAGUUCCGACCUGCACGAAUCGUGNAACG
rnacentral:rRNA from 1 species